rnacentral:pre_miRNA from 1 species
GGUGUUUGGAAUGAGGUUUGAUCCAAGAUCCUGUUAUGAUAGUCUUUAAUAUGAAAUAUAUAUAUAUAUAUAUAUAUAUAUAUAUGAAAUAGGGAUUCUCAACAUAUAUAUAGGUUUUGUACGAAAUCUAGGAAUGGAUCUCGGACCAGGCUUCAUUCCUCACACC